GCCUCUGUAGCUCAGUUGGUUAGACCGCUGCGCACCGGAAUCGCAGGGCCGUAGGUUCAAUUGCUACCAGAGGAC
rnacentral:tRNA from 1 species